UACGGAGGGGGCUAGCGUUGUUCGGAAUUACUGGGCGUAAAGCGCACGUAGGCGGCUUUGUAAGUUAGAGGUGAAAGCCCGGGGCUCAACUCCGGAAUUGCCUUUAAGACUGCAUCGCUAGAAUUGUGGAGAGGUAAGUGGAAUUCCGAGUGUAGUGGUGAAAUGCGUAGAGAUCGGCAGGAACACCUAGGGGGAAACCAGUGGACUGGGCAUCGGCUGACGCUCAGGUGCGAAAGCGUGGGGAGCGAACCGG
rnacentral:rRNA from 1 species